UUAGCUUCUCAGCCUUGGCUAAAAUCAAGUGUAGUAUCUCUUCUUCUCAGUUUAAUAUCUGAUAUGUCCUUAAUAAUAAAAGAGUAACUUAAUUGAAGAAAAUAUCC
rnacentral:snRNA from 1 species